rnacentral:tRNA from 1 species
ACUCCGUAGCUCAGUGGUUAGAGCAUCCGUCUGGUGUAUGGAAGGUCAUGGGUUCAAAUCCCAUCGGGACUG